GAAUGAUUGUGCUGUCACGGGUAAGGGUGUCACUGAACCGAUGAGGACCAUAAUUCAACUCAACCAUCAAUCAGCCGAUGCUAACGACUCUGAGCCAAACCUGCGCUGCAGCGUGAGGUAAGGGGCGGAGUCAUGCCGAUGCCCGAGUCUUACCAUAUAUGGAAGUAGCACCAUUGCACUCCGGAAGUGAAGGGGGCGCCAUGUCAAUGAUCACUUACAAGUAGCGAAUCGGCGGUGAAAACAUUUUCACUGACAGUAUAGAAAAUAUUUUGCGGACUGAUUCACAAUGGAAACUUCGCAAAGUCAGCAGAAGCAGAUUCAUUUUUCUGUAUGUAAUGUUAAAAAGGGGGAGAUGUUACAACCUUAUUGCAAAGAUGACACAUAUAGAUGUCCCCUUUGCUCGUACUGUGCCAAGGAGUCGUACAAGGUGGUGAACCAUAUUGCAAAUACUGCUAUGGUUCAACAUAAAGAAUUCUACAUCUUCAAAUGUGGUUUAACUUGUCGUGGCACAUCUCACUUUCAUUGCCCAUACUGUUUGUCAACAGUUGAUAGACGGGAGCGGUUUGUAAAUCAUUUAGUAAACCACACGAUGCCUUUAAAAUCCCUGUCCAGCUGUGCAACAGCACAGCUACCUGUCCAACUAGCAUCAACCAACAUCCAGGCGGCCACAACAGUACAGCUGCCUGUCCAGCUAGCAUCAACCAACAUCCAGGCGGCCACAACAGUACAGCUGCCUGUCCAGCUAGCAUCAACCAACAUCCAGGCGGC